UACCAGCAGGGUUUGUGUGAGAAAUAGAGUCAAGUGGGGAUUGGAAGAUUGUUAAGGAUGCAACUUCCCAUCUGAUGUCUUGUUAAUAGAUCCCUUCAGAGUGCUUAUACCCAGAACCUGGUGUCUUCUUUAAGUACACUUUUUUCACUGUUAUUUUAUUUUCCAGCAAAUUCUGUUGGCUCCAUCUUCAAAAUAGAUCCAGAGUCUGCCUAUUUUUUUGUUGUUAUUUGUUUGGCUUUUACAAAAUUGACUGUUGUUAUGUUCAUCUAAGCUGCACCCUCACUCUGGGUUCAUUGAAGCAGCCUAUGAAAUAGACUUUGUUUUUCAACCCUUACAACUUUUAAAGUCACUUCUUCACUUAGUAGUGAGUAUAAUCCAGUUAAAACAUUUCAGCUCAGGUUUUCCCUGAGUUCAGCAUGAUUUUCACGUAAUUCAGAGGAAAAGCUGAGUCCUUACUAAGGUCUGCAGGGCCCGAUACAGCCUCUCAUCUCAUCUCCAUUAUUUCUCUGGCCUCUCCUCCUGGUACUGUCCCAUGUGCUUACUCAGCAUUAGCCUCCUUGCCAAGCUACAGAAAUACCAGCCUUGGUCUCAUCUCAGUGGCUUUGUUCUUCUUCCUCUAAAUAUCCCCUGGGCUCAUGCUCUCUUCUCCUUGGGUCUUGUUUAAAGACUCCCUUCUCAAUAAGCCCUUCUGUGGCGAGCUAUUGGGAAUGGAUUCCUUUCACCAUUUUCUAGUUAGCACUAGCACUUUCUUUCUUCCAUGCUCCAUUUUUC
rnacentral:lncRNA from 1 species